CGGUGCGGGGGGGCGGGGGGGAUGGAUGAAACAGGUGAAGCUGAUUAAGGAGAGCACUAGUCGUGAUGAGCCCUGGAUGUUGUAUGGAAGUGUUGAAUCACUAUAUUGUACACCUGAAACUGAUAUUAUACUGUAGGUUAACCAUACUGGACAUUUAGAUAAAUACUU